GAUGAAGAACGCAGCGAAAUGCGAUAAGUAAUGCGAAUUGCAGAAUCCGUGAGUCAUCGAAUCUUUGAACGCACAUUGCGCCCCUUGGUUAUUCCGAAGGGCAUGCCUGUUCGAGCGUCAUUUCAACCAUCAAGCCCCCGGCUUGUGUUGGGGACCUGCGGCUGCCGCAGGCCCUGAAAAGCAGUGGCGGGCUCGCUGUCACACCGAGCGUAGUAGCAUACAUCUCGCUCUGGGCGUGCUGCGGGUUCCGGCCGUUAAACCACCUUCAUAACCCAAGGUUGACCUCGGAUCAGGUAGGAAGACCCGCUGAACUUAAGCAUAUCAAUAAGCGGAGGA
rnacentral:misc_RNA from 1 species